rnacentral:lncRNA from 1 species
UGCUGAUCUUGCUCAGUGCUGGAGCUUUCUUCAAAAUCCUUUAAUCUAUUCUCUAAGUUGGAGCUCUGAUUCCUUUACUCUUUUCUAGGGAUUGGUACAGGUGAGUUCACUCGUCACUCUAGUCGGGCCAUGGUUGCCAAUUCAAUUGAUCUCAAGAUUGCUCAGUUGGUUGGUCCCUCCCCCCUAAGUUUGAGCUCCUAACCAAGUUGGUUGGGAUUGGGAUAUGCUGCUCAAGCUAGAUGAAUUGCUCUACAGUCAUCGAUACUUGGGAUGAUGGC